CGGUAAUUCCAGCUCCAAUAGCGUAUACUAAAGUUGUUGCAGUUAAAAAGCUCGUAGUUGGAUUUCUGCGGGGACGGAGCGGCCGGUCGCAACUUGCGACUCGAGCUAGCGCUUUCCCCGCAUCCUGCCGCGAACCGUGCUACCAUUAGUUUGGUGGCGCUGGGGAUCGGCUCGAUUACUUUGAGAAAAAUAGAGUGUUCAAAGCAGGCCACACGCCUUGAAUAAGUUAGCAUGGAAUAAUGACUAAGGACUUUGGUUCUUUUCGUUGGUGUUCGGGACUGAAGUAAUGAUUGAUAGGGACAGUUGGGGCGGUCCGUAUUCCAAAGCGAGAGGUGAAAUUCUUAGACCUUCGGAAGACGAACAGCUGCGAAAGCGUUCCGCAAGGAUGUUCCCUUUGAUCAAGAACGAAAGUUGGGGGAUCGAAGACGAUCAGAUACCGUCGUAGUCUCAACUAUAAACUAUACCAGCUAGGGAUCGGCCAACGUUUAAUUUAUCGACUUGGUCGGCACCUUAUGAGAAAUCAAAGCAUCUGGGUUCCGGGGGGAGUAUGGUCGCAAGGCUGAAACUUAAAGGAAUUGACGGAAGGGCACCACCAGCCGUGGAGCCUGUGGCUUAAUUUGACUCAACACGGGAAAACUUACCAGGCCCAGACAUAGUAAGGAUUGACAGAUUGAUAGCUCUUUCUUGAUUCUGUGGGUGGUGGUGCAUGGCCGUUCUUAGUUGGUGGAGUGAUUUGUCUGGUUAAUUCCGUUAACGAACGAGACCCCAGCCUGCUAAAUAGCGCGGUUGAGCUUUGCUCGAUGCGAGCUUCUUAGAGGGACUAUGAUGCGCGAUAGCACAUGGAAGUUUGGGGCAAUAACAGGUCUGUGAUGCCCUUAGAUGUUCUGGGCCGCACACGGGCUACACUGGCGCCUGCAACGAGCAUAUCAGCUGGCCCGAGAGGGUCUUGGCUAAUCUUUUGAACCGGCGCCGUGCUUGGGAUUGACCUUUGCAAUUGUUGGUCAUGCAACGAGGAAUGCCUUGUAAACGCGAGUCAUCAGCUCGCAUUGAAUACGUCCCUGCCCUUUGUACACACCGCCCGUCGCUCCUACCGAUGAAUGUUCCGAUGAAAUUUUCGGAGAGCGCCAGAGAACGGGGCUCCGCCUUGCAGAUCUGGAGGCUCAAAGUCACUUAAAUCUGAACAUUUCGAGGAAGGAAAAGUCGUAACAAGGUAGCCG
rnacentral:rRNA from 1 species